rnacentral:rRNA from 1 species
UACAGAGGUCUCAAGCGUUGUUCGGAUUCAUUGGGCGUAAAGGGUGCGUAGGCGGCGCGGUAAGUCGGGUGUGAAAUCUCGGAGCUUAACUCCGAAACUGCAUUCGAUACUGCCGUGCUUGAGGACUGGAGAGGAGACUGGAAUUUACGGUGUAGCGGUGAAAUGCGUAGAUAUCGGGAGGAACACCAGUGGCGAAGGCGAUCAUCUGGGGUUGUUCUGACGCUGAGGAGCGAAAGCUAGGGGAGCAAACGGG